rnacentral:rRNA from 1 species
GACAGAGGGUGCAAACGUUGCUCGGAAUCACUGGGCGUAAAGGGCGCGUAGGCGGGAAUGUAAGUCGGGCGUGAAAUCCCUAGGCUCAACCUAGGAACUGCACUCGAAACUGCGUUUCUUGAGUAUCGGAGAGGAAAGCGGAAUUCCUGGUGUAGAGGUGAAAAUUCGUAGAUAUCAGGAGGAACACCGGUGGCGAAGGCGGGUCUCUGGGCCGAUACUGACGCUGAGGAGCGAAAGCGUGGGGAGCGAACAGG